rnacentral:misc_RNA from 1 species
GACAGAGGGUGCAAGCGUUGUUCGGAAUCCUUGGGCGUAAAGCGCGCGUAGGCGGCUAGGUAAGUCGGAUGUGAAAGCCCAGGGCUCAACUCUGGAAGUGCAUCCGAAACUGCUUAGCUUGAGUCCCGGAGAGGGUGGUAGAAUUCCCAGUGUAGAGGUGAAAUUCGUAGAUAUUGGGAGGAAUACCGGUGGCGAAGGCGACCACCUGGACGGAGACUGACGCUGAGGUGCGAAAGCGUGGGGAGCAAACAGG